GACGAACGCUGGCGGCGUGCCUAACACAUGCAAGUCGAACGGGACUUAUUGGAAAGCGGCUUCGGCCAAUGGAAGAUAAGUUUAGUGGCGAACGGGUGAGUAACGCGUGAGGAACCUACCUUUCAGUGGGGGACAACAGUUGGAAACGACUGCUAAUACCGCAUAACAUCUCGAUGGGGCAUCCCAUUGAGAUCAAAGCUUUAUGUGCUGAAAGAUGGCCUCGCGUCUGAUUAGCUAGUUGGUGGGGUAACGGCUCACCAAGGCGACGAUCAGUAGCCGGUCUGAGAGGAUGAACGGCCACAUUGGGACUGAGAUACGGCCCAGACUCCUACGGGAGGCAGCAGUGGGGGAAUAUUGGGCAAUGGGGGCAACCCUGACCCAGCAACGCCGCGUGAAGGAAGAAGGCUUUCGGGUUGUAAACUUCUUUAGUCAGGGACGAAGGACGUGACGGUACCUGCAGAAAAAGCAACGGCUAACUACGUG
rnacentral:rRNA from 1 species